rnacentral:lncRNA from 1 species
UCCCAAUCCUAGCCAAAACCACUUGUAGAUAGCAUGUCAUUGACAAUAUUACUCUUGCACUGAUCACGAACACAAUGUUGCUCUUUGUGAUGUUUACACCACAUUUCUCUCAAACAUUGUUAAUUGUAGUUGUGUAGACAUGUGAUUUCCAUCCAUUUUGAUAUCUAUCCCGUUCAUUGUACUACUCCAUAAGAGUGUCCAGCAAUACUUUAUCCAUGUCGUCAUCCCAUGGAACGUAACCCCUUGAUGAUCUUGACGAUUUCUUACCCUUUUCCACAUCCCGG